rnacentral:snoRNA from 1 species
CCCUGCAUUCAAAAGGGAUGGUGGGCUGCCUGUGCCUAGUCAUGGACAGUGCAGGGAGAGUAGCUAUGGCUGGUGUUUUCUUGUGUUUGGAGUGUCAAUGCCACUUCUUGUUCUGGGAAGAUGAGCCGCUU